rnacentral:rRNA from 1 species
ACACCCGGACCCAUUCCGAACCCGGAAGUUAAGCUCACGAGCGCGGAUGGUACUGCUUUGGUAACGAAGUGGGAGAGUACGCCGCUGCCAACC